rnacentral:rRNA from 1 species
GACGAACGCUGGCGGCGUGCCUAAUACAUGCAAGUUGAGCGAUGAAGCUUGGUGCUUGCACCAAUUUGAAGAGCAGCGAACGGGUGAGUAACGCGUGGGGAAUCUGCCUUUGAGCGGGGGACAACAUUUGGAAACGAAUGCUAAUACCGCAUAACAACUUUAAACAUAAGUUUUAAGUUUGAAAGAUGCAAUUGCAUCACUCAAAGAUGAUCCCGCGUUGUAUUAGCUAGUUGGUGAGGUAAAGGCUCACCAAGGCGAUGAUACAUAGCCGACCUGAGAGGGUGAUCGGCCACAUUGGGAAUGAGACACGGCCCAAACUCCUACGGGAGGCAGCAGUAGGGAAUCUUCGGCAAUGGACGAAAGUCUGGCCGAGCAACGCCGCGUGAGUGAAGAAGGUUUUCGGAUCGUAAAACUCUGUUGGUAGAGAAGAACGUUGGUGAGAGUGGAAAGCUCAUCAAGUGACGGUAACUACCCAGAAAGGGACGGCUAACUACGUG